rnacentral:rRNA from 1 species
UGAGCACGAGACGCUAAGGCGUCGAAGUAGUGGAUGUCAUACUUCCAAGAAAAGCUUGCACUGUCAUAAAUAAAGAACGCCUGUACCAUAACCGACACAGGUGGGUAGGUAGAGUAUACUAAGGGGCGCGAGAUAACCCUCUCUAAGGAACUCGGCAAAAUGACUCCGUAACUUCGGGAGAAGGAGUGCCUUAUUCGUAAGGCUGCAAUAACAAGAUCCAAGCAACUGUUUAUCAAAAACACAGGUCUCCGCUAAGUCGUAAGACGAUGUAUGGGGGCUGACGCCUGCCCAGUGCCAGAAGGUUAAAGAAGUCGGUUAGCAUUAGCGAAGCUGGUAACUGAAGCCCUGGUGAACGGCGGCCGUAACGAUAACGGUCCUAAGGUAGCGAAAUUCCUUGUCGGGUAAGUUCCGACCCGCACGAAAGGCGUAAUGAAUGGAUACUGUCUCGGAGAGGGGCUCGGUGAAAUAGACUUGUCUGUGAAGAUGCGGACUACCUGCACCAGGACAGAAAGACCCUAUGAAGCUUUACUGUAACUUGAAAUUGAAAUUGGACUUUAUUCGCGCAGUAUAGGUGGGAGGUGUUGAUUAUAAUCUUGCGGGAUUAUUGGAGCCAUCAGUGAGAUACCACUCUUGUAAUGUUAGAUUUCUAACUUUGAAUCAUUAUCUGGUCAAAGAACAGUUUCAGGCGGGCAGUUUGACUGGGGCGGUCGCCUCCUAAAUGGUAACGGAGGCGUACAAAGGUUUCCUCUGAACGGGUAGAAAUCGUAUCUAGAGUGUAAAGGCAUAAGGAAGCUUGACUGUGAGACCUACAAGUCGAGCAGGGACGAAAGUCGGUCUUAGUGAUCUGACGGUACUGAGUGGAAAGGCCGUCACUCAACGGAUAAAAGUUACUCUAAGGAUAACAGGCUGAUCUCCCCCAAGAGUUCACAUCGACGGGGAGGUUUGGCACCUCGAUGUCGGCUCAUCGCAUCCUGGGGCGGUAGUACGUCCCAAGGGUUGGGCUGUUCGCCCAUGAAAGCGGUACGCGAGCUGGGUUCAGAACGUCGUGAGACAGUUCGGUCCAUAUCCGGUGUAGGCGUUAGAAUAUUGAGAGGAGCCUUCUUUAGUACGAGAGGACCGAGAAGGACAUACCUCUGGUGUACCAGUUAUCGUGCCAACGGUAAACGCUGGGUAGCUAUGUAUGGAGUGGAUAACCGCUGAAAGCAUCUAAGUGGGAAGCCCACCUCAAGAUAAGUAUUCUCC